rnacentral:rRNA from 1 species
UAAUACGGAGGGUGCAAGCGUUAAUCGGAAUUACUGGGCGUAAAGGGUACGUAGGCGGUUUGUUAAGUUGGGUGUGAAAGCCCCGGGCUCAACCUGGGAACUGCAUUCAAAACUGGCAGACUUGAGUUUGGCAGAGGCCAGUGGAAUUCCCGGUGUAGCGGUGAAAUGCGUAGAGAUCGGGAGGAACAUCAGUGGCGAAGGCGACUGGCUGGGCUAAAACUGACGCUGAAGUACGAAAGCGUGGGGAGCAAACAGGAUUAGAUACCCUGGUAGUCCACGCCCUAAACGAUGAGAACUAGACGUUGGGCUCAUAAAAGAGCUUAGUGUCGAAGCUAACGCGUUAAGUUCUCCGCCUGGGGAGUACGGCCGCAAGGUUG